rnacentral:rRNA from 1 species
AGCAGCCGCGGUAAUUCCAGCUCCAAUAGCGUAUAUUAAAGUUGCUGCAGUUAAAAAGCUCGUAGUUGAAUUUCGGGACUAAUAUGUCGGUCGUGCCUCGGUACGUACUGGUAUUUUUGGUUUCUCCCUUCUGACGAACCUUGAUGUCAUUAAUUUGGUGUCUUGGGAAAUCAGGACUGUUACUUUGAAAAAAUUAGAGUGUUUAAAGCAGGCUCACGCUUGAAUACAUUAGCAUGGAAUAAUGAAAUAGGACGUUUGAUUCUAUUUUGUUGGUUUCUAGGAUCGACGUAAUGAUUAAUAGGGAUAGUUGGGGGCAUUAGUAUUCAAUUGUCAGAGGUGAAAUUCUUGGAUUUAUUGAAGACUAACUACUGCGAAAGCAUUUGCCAAGGAUGUUUUCAUUAAUCAAGAACGAAAGUUAGGGGAUCGAAGAUGAUCAGAUACCGUCGUAGUCUUAACCAUAAACUAUGCCGACUAGGGAUCGGAUGAUGUUAAUUUUUUAAUGACUCAUUCGGCGCCUUACG